CAUUACAGUAGCACAGCAUGUACUACAGGACCUAGAACAUUCACCUCCUCCUGUCCUUGCAGAUGCGAACUUCAGCCUCUCCAGUCUUGGGACUCCAGGACUUGCACUAUUGGCCCCUUGGUUCUCAGGCCUUCGGUCUCCAACUGAGAGUUACACCAUCAGUUUCCGCGGUUCUGAGGCUUUUGAACUUGGACUGGGGCACCCUACCGGCCCCACUGGGUCACCAGCGUGCAGACAGCCUGUGGUGGAACUUCUCAGCCUCCAUAAUUGUGUGAGCCAAUCCCCCUCAUAAAUCCCCUCUCGUGUAUCUAUACCCAGUCAUGCAUCACUUCAUGAGGGGAAUACGUUCUGGGAAAUGCAUUGUUAGGCCAUUUCAUCAUUGUGUGGAUAUCAUAGCAUGCGUACUUACACAAGCCUAGAGGGUCCAGCCUACUACACACCUAGGCUAUAUGGUAUAGUCUAUUUCUCCUAAGCUACAAACCUGUACAGCACAUUACUGUACUGAAUACUGUAGGCAAUGUAUCUAAACAUAGAAGAGGUCCAGUAAAAUUAUAAUAUUAUAAUCUGGCUGGGUGCAGUGGCUCACGCCUGUAAUCCCAGCACUUUGGGAGGCUGAGGUGGGCAGAUCACUUGAGGUCUAGAGUUCAAGACCAGCCUGGCCAACAUGGCGAAACCCCAUCUCUACUAAAAAUACAAAAGAAUUAGCUGGGCCUGGUGGGGUGUGCCUGUAAUCUCAGCUACUCUGGAGGCUGAGGCAGAAGAAUCGCUUGAAUCCGGAAGGCAGAGGUUGCGGUGAGCCGAGAUUGCACCACUGCACUCCAGCCUGGGAGACAGAGUGAGACUCCAUCUCAAAAAGAAAAUAAUAAUAAUAAUAAUAAUAAUAAUAAUAAUAAUAAUAAUAUAAUCUUUUGGGACCACUACUGUGGUUCAUCAUUGAUUAAAACAUCAUUAUGAGGCACAUGACUGUAUAUAUAAGUAUUUUAUAUACAUGUUUAAUUUUCUGUCUCUCCGGAGAAUCCUAAUACUUCCUGGACUGCCUAAAAUGAAUUAAAUGUAUGAAAUGAAGGAUUGCGCUAAUUUGGAUGUUGCAGACUGAUGGCCUGUAGACCACAGGACUGCUGAUGUGCAUGGUUUGGCCCAUGUGGUGUGUAUAUGUGUCACAGCAAUGUGACGGCCUCUCCAAGUCGCCACAUUUACUCAGUGUUGCCUCGCACCUGGCUCACCUCAUGUGUUUGCAAUGUAUACCCCUGUAAGUGCCAGACAGGUGAUCUCUGGACUGAAUCCAGCUUUUCCAUGGAGUUGUGGAAGGAAGAGGCCGCUGCUCUAUAGCAGUUCAGCAAUGGGAGAAGUGAACACAGCAUGCUGCUGAUCUCUGUACAGCUUCGGGGAGUGCAGGACUUGGAGGUUGGCUGACUCAGCGGUGGGAGUUUUUAGGGAUUAAAAAACCUUUAGAAGCAUGGUCCCUGAGGGAGGCUGUUGCUGAUUGGCUGGCCUUCAGAAGCAUGUGUACUGACAGAAGGAAGUUGUCACCAAAGGACUGGGGUAGCUUUAAAAGCAGUUCUCACUUAUUACUAGGACAAAGGAACAGUAAGUCUUUUCCUUUCUAGGAACUACUUCUAAAAACUAUUUCUAGAGCAAUUCAUUCUCAGUAGGAUGCCUUACUUAUUUAAAUAUAGCAUGAAUCAGAUCAAAUCACUGGAAAGGCUUGUUGUCACAGCUCACUGCAGCCUUGACCUCCCAUGGCCAAGCAAUCCUCCUACCUCAGCCUCCCCAGUAGCUGGGACCACAGGCAUGCACCACCAUGCCCAACUAAUUUUUUUAUUUUUUGUAGAGACAGGGUCUCACUAGGUUCCUUAAAAUCCCAGGCUCAAGAGAUCCUCCCACCUCAGGAGUGUCAGAGCAUUCAAACCACAGCGACUCCAUCUUGAACAGGGGCUGGGUAAAAUAAGGCUGAGACCUGCUGGGCUACAUUCUCAAGAGGUUAAGCAUUCUUAGUCACAGGAUGAGAUAGAAGGUCGUCAAGACUGGUAUCACAAGAUAAAGGUCACAAAGACCCUGCUAAUAAAACAGGAUGUGGUAAAGAAGCCGAUCAAAACCCUCAAAACCAAGAUGGCGGUGAAAGUGACCUCUAGUCGUCCUCACUGCUCACUCCUCAUUUUAUGCUAAUUAUAAUGCAUUAGCAUGCUGAAAGCCACUCCCACCAGCACCAAUACAGUUUACAAAUGCCAUGGCAACAUCGGAAAGUCAUCCUACAUAGUCUAAAAGGGGGAGAAACCCUCAGUUCCAGGAAUUGCCUACCCUUUCCCAGAAAACUCAUGAAUAAUCCACCCGUUGUUGAGCAUGCAAUGAU
rnacentral:lncRNA from 1 species